rnacentral:rRNA from 1 species
GAUGAACGCUAGCGGCAGGCCUAACACAUGCAAGUCGAGCGGGGUUUUCGGACCUAGCGGCGGACGGGUGAGUAAUGCGUAGGAAGCUGCCCGAUAGAGGGGGAUACCAGUUGGAAACGACUGUUAAUACCGCAUAAUGUCUACGGACCAAAGUGUGGGACCUUCGGGCCACAUGCUAUCGGAUGCGCCUACGUGGGAUUAGCUAGUUGGUGAGGUAAUGGCUCACCGAGGCGACGAUCCCUAGCUGGUUUGAGAGGAUGAUCAGCCACACUGGAACUGAGACACGGUCCAGACUCCUACGGGAGGCAGCAGUGGGGAAUAUUGGACAAUGGGCGCAAGCCUGAUCCAGCCACGCCGCGUGUGUGAAGAAGGCCUUCGGGUUGUAAAGCACUUUCAGUAAGGAGGAAGCGUUGUGUGUUAAUAGUACACAGCGUUGACGUUACCUACAGAAGAAGCACCGGCUAACUCUGUGCCAGCCGCCGCGGUAAGAC